rnacentral:rRNA from 1 species
UUACCAGACUCCUACGGGAGGCAGCAGUAGGGAAUAUUGCUCAAUGGGGGAAACCCUGAAGCAGCAACGCCGCGUGGAGGAUGAAGGUUUUCGGAUUGUAAACUCCUUUUGUUAGAGAAGAUAAUGACGGUAUCUAACGAAUAAGCACCGGCUAACUCCGUGCCAGCAGCCGCGGUAAUACGGAGGGUGCGAGCGUUAUCCGGAUUUAUUGGGUUUAAAGGGUGCGUAGGCGGUCCGGAAAGUCAGCGGUAAAAGCCGGGGGCCCAACCCCGGCGAGCCGUUGAAACUGUCGGACUAGAGACGGCGAGAAGUACGCGGAAUGCGCGGUGUAGCGGUGAAAUGCAUAGAUAUCGCGCAGAACUCCGAUUGCGAAGGCAGCGUACCGGCGCCGGACUGACGCUGAGGCACGAAAGCGUGGGUAUCGAACAGGAUUAGAUACCCUUGUAC